CCUACGGGGGGCUGCAGUGGGGAAUAUUGGACAAUGGGCGAAAGCCUGAUCCAGCCAUGCCGCGUGUGUGAAGAAGGCCUUCGGGUUGUAAAGCACUUUCAGUGGGGAAGAAAGCCUUGGGGCUAAUACCCUCGAGGAAGGACAUCACCCACAGAAGAAGCACCGGCUAACUCCGUGCCAGCAGCCGCGGUAAUACGGAGGGUGCGAGCGUUAAUCGGAAUUACUGGGCGUAAAGCGCGCGUAGGCGGUCUGAUAAGCCGGUUGUGAAAGCCCCGGGCUCAACCUGGGAACGGCAUCCGGAACUGUCAGGCUAGAGUGCAGGAGAGGAAGGUAGAAUUCCCGGUGUAGCGGUGAAAUGCGUAGAGAUCGGGAGGAAUACCAGUGGCGAAGGCGGCCUUCUGGACUGACACUGACGCUGAGGUGCGAAAGCGUGGGUAGCAAACAGUAUUAGAUACCCGAGUAGUC
rnacentral:rRNA from 1 species